rnacentral:rRNA from 1 species
UACGAAGGGGACUAGCGGUGCUCGGAAUGACUGGGCGUAAAGGGCGCGUAGGCGGACUGCACAGUCAGGCGUGAAAUUCCUGGGCUUAACCUGGGGACUGCGUCUGAGACGUGUGAUCUAGAGUGAGGAAGAGGGUCGUGGAAUUUCCAGUGUAGAGGUGAAAUUCGUAGAUAUUGGAAAGAACACCGGUGGCGAAGGCGGCGACCUGGUCCUUGACUGACGCUGAGGCGCGAAAGCGUGGGGAGGAAACAGG